UCACCCCUCGGGCCCUGUGCUCGAUGUUGGACGGCCGGUUCGGGCGACCGAACCCCUCCUAAAGACAAUGACGGCGGCCUGUGGUUCCCCCGGUACACUGAGCCUUUGGCACGUGCCGGACGAGGGCGCCCAGGACCCGGUCCUCUCCUCUCAGUAGGAAACUUCUUA
rnacentral:misc_RNA from 1 species